GACGAACGCUGGCGGCGUGCUUAAUACAUGCAAGUCGAACGGACCGAUUCCGAUCUUUUACUAUUGGCAAAGGCUAGUGGCGGACGGGUGAGUAACGCGUGGGCAAUCUGCCCCUAUGUCCGGGCUAACAGAGCGCAAGUUCUGCUAAGACCGGUUACUCUAUCCUAGCCGCUUGGUUGGUAAAGGAAGGUGUACGCUUAAGGAUGAGCCCGCGUCCCCUGAGCUAGCUGGUGAGGUAACGGCCCACGAAGGCAACGAUGGGUACCCGGCCGGAGAGGGUGGGCGGCCACACUGGGACUGGGACACGGCCCAGACUCCUACGGGAGGCAGCAGUAGGGAACUGUCCGCCAUGGGCGAAAGCCUGACCGUGCAACGCCGGGUGAGGGACGAAGGUAGUCGGAUAGUAAUCCUUUGUCAUCGAGGAAGAUAAUGACGGUACUUGAGGAGAAAGCCACGGCUAACUACGUG
rnacentral:rRNA from 1 species